AUUGAACGCUGGCGGCAGGCCUAACACAUGCAAGUCGAGCGAGCGGCGGACGGGUGAGUAAUGCCUGGGAAUUGCCCAGUCGAGGGGGCUAACAGUUGGAAACGACUGCUCAUACCGCAUACGAUUGGAUCGCCCAGGUGGGAUUAGCUAGUGGGUGGGGUAAUGGCCCACCAAGGCGACGAUCCCUAGCUGGUCUGAGAGGAUGAACAGCCACACUGGAACGGGGACACGGGCCGGACUCGUAUGGAAGUCAGCGGUGGGGAAUAUUGCCCAAUGGGGGAAACCCUGAUGCAGCCAGGCCGCGUGUAUGAAGAAGGCCUUCGGGUUGUAAAGCACGUUCAGCGAGGAGGCGUUACUCGCAGAAGAAGCACCGGCUAACUCCGUGCCAGCAGCCGCGGUAAUAC
rnacentral:rRNA from 1 species